ACGGUAACAGGGGAGCUUGCUCCCGCUGACGAGUGGCGAACGGGUGAGUAAUGCAUCGGAACGUGCCGAAUAGUGGGGGAUAACGCACCGAAAGGUGUGCUAAUACCGCAUACGCCCUGAGGGGGAAAGUGGGGGACCGCAAGGCCUCACGCUAAUUGAGCGGCCGAUGUCGGAUUAGCUAGUUGGUGGGGUAAAGGCUCACCAAGGCGACGAUCCGUAGCGGGUCUGAGAGGAUGAUCCGCCACACUGGGACUGAGACACGGCCCAGACUCCUACGGGAGGCAGCAGUGGGGAAUUUUGGACAAUGGGGGAAACCCUGAUCCAGCCAUGCCGCGUGUCUGAAGAAGGCCUUCGGGUUGUAAAGUACUUUUGUCCGGGAGGAAACCCUGAUCGUUAAUAGCGGUCGGGACUGACAGUACCGGAAGAAUAAGCACCGGCUAACUACGUGCCAGCAGCCGCGGUAAUACGUAGGGUGCAAGCGUUAAUCGGAAUUACUGUGCGUAAAGCGUGCGCAGGCGGUGAGAUAAGUCAGCUGUGAAAGCCCCGGGCUCAACCUGGGAACUGCGGCCGAAACUGUCUCGCUAGAGUACGUCAGAGGGGGGUGGAAUUCCACGUGUAGCAGUGAAAUGCGUAGAGAUGUGGAGGAACACCAAUGGCGAAGGCAGC
rnacentral:rRNA from 1 species